rnacentral:rRNA from 1 species
UACGUAGGAUCCGAGCGUUGUCCGGAAUUACUGGGUGUAAAGGGCGUGUAGGUGGGUUCCUAAGUCGGUGGUGAGAUCCUGCGGCUUAACUGCAGAAUUGCCGACGAUACUGGGGAUCUUGAGUGCGGCAGAGGGAGAUGGAAUUCAUGGUGUAGCGGAGAAAUGUGUAGAUAUCAUGAAGAACACCGGUAGCGAAGGCGGUCUCCUGGUCCGUUACUGACACUGAGGCGCGAAAGCGUGGGGAG